GCCAGGCAUGGUGGCGUGUGCCUGUAAUCCUAGCUACUCAGGAGGCUGAGGCAGGAGAAUAGCUUGAACCCGGGAGGUGGAGGUUGCAGUGAGCUGAGACUGGGCCACUGCACUCCAGCCUGGGUGACAGAGUGAGACUUUGUCUCAA
ensembl:misc_RNA Metazoa_SRP Metazoan signal recognition particle RNA